rnacentral:rRNA from 1 species
GGACGAACGCUGGCGGCGUGCUUAACACAUGCAAGUCGAACGGAAAGGCCCCUUUGGGGGUACUCGAGUGGCGAACGGGUGAGUAACACGUGAGUAACCUGCCCUUGACUUCGGGAUAACUUCAGGAAACUGGGGCUAAUACCGGAUAGGAAUCCUUGCUGCAUGGUGGGGGUUGGAAAGCUUCGGCGGUUUUGGAUGGACUCACGGCUUAUCAGCUUGUUGGUGGGGUAGUGGCUUACCAAGGCUUUGACGGGUAGCCGGCCUGAGAGGGCGACCGGCCACAUUGGGACUGAGAUACGGCCCAGACUCCUACGGGAGGCAGCAGUGGGGAAUAUUGCACAAUGGGCGGAAGCCUGAUGCAGCAACGCCGCGGGCGGGAUGACGGCCUUCGGGUUGUAAACCGCUUUCAGCAGGGGCGAAGCUUGUGGUGACGGUACCUGCAGAAGAAGCACCGGCUAACUACGUG